AGUGAACGCUGGCGGUAGGCCUAACACAUGCAAGUCGAACGGCAGCACAGUAAGAGCUUGCUCUUACGGGUGGCGGGUGGCGGACGGGUGAGGAAUGCAUCGGAAUCUACUUUUUCGUGGGGGAUAACGUGGGGUAACAUACGAUAAUACCGCAUACGACAUACGGGUGACCGCAGGGGAUCUUCGGACCUUGCGCGAUUGAAUGAGCCGAUGUCGGAUUAGCUAGUUGGCGGGGUAAAGGCCCACCAAGGCGACGAUCCGUAGCUGGUCUGAGAGGAUGAUCAGCCACACUGGAACUGAGACACGGUCCAGACUCCUACGGGAGGCAGCAGUGGGGAAUAUUGGACAAUGGGCGCAAGCCUGAUCCAGCCAUACCGCGUGGGUGAAGAAGGCCUUCGGGUUGUAAAGCCCUUUUGUUGGGAAAGAAAAGCAGCAGGUUAAUACCCCGCUGUUCUGACGGUACCCAAAGAAUAAGCACCGGCUAACUUCGUG
rnacentral:rRNA from 1 species